rnacentral:rRNA from 1 species
AGAGUUUGAUCAUGGCUCAGAACGAACGCUGGCGGCGUGCCUAACACAUGCAAGUCGAGCGCGAAUGGAGCAAUCCUAGUAGAGCGGCGCACGGGUGCGUAACACGUGGAUAAUCUGCCUGGGUGUCUGGGAUAACCAGUCGAAAGACUGGCUAAUACCGGAUAAGCCCCCGGGAGCUUCGGCUCCUGAGGGAAAAGGUGGCCUCUGUAUACAAGCUAUCACAUCCAGAUGAGUCCGCGGCCCAUCAGCUAGUUGGCGGGGUAAUGGCCCACCAAGGCAACGACGGGUAGCUGGUCUGAGAGGACGAUCAGCCACACUGGAACUGAGACACGGUCCAGACUCCUACGGGAGGCAGCAGUGGGGAAUUUUGCGCAAUGGGCGAAAGCCUGACGCAGCAACGCCGCGUGUGUGAUGAAGGUCUUCGGAUUGUAAAGCACUUUCGACCGGGACGAAAACCCUGAGGCUAACAUCCUCAGGCUUGACGGUACCGGGAGAAGAAGCACCGGCUAACUCUGUGCCAGCAGCCGCGGUAAUACAGAGGGUGCAAGCGUUGUUCGGAAUUAUUGGGCGUAAAGCGCGUGUAGGCGGCUUUGCAAGUCGGGUGUGAAAGCCCUCAGCUCAACUGAGGAAGUGCGCCCGAAACUGCAGAGCUUGAGUACCGGAGAGGGUGGCGGAAUUCCCCAAGUAGAGGUGAAAUUCGUAGAUAUGGGGAGGAACACCGGUGGCGAAGGCGGCCACCUGGACGGUUACUGACGCUGAGACGCGAAAGCGUGGGGAGCAAACAGGAUUAGAUACCCUAGUAGUCC